UGCGUAGGCGGCGCGGUAAGUCGGGUGUGAAAUCUCGGAGCUUAACUCCGAAACUGCAUUCGAUACUGCCGUGCUUGAGGACUGGAGAGGAGACUGGAAUUUACGGUGUAGCGGUGAAAUGCGUAGAUAUCGUAAGGAAGACCAGUGGCGAAGGCGGGUCUCUGGACAGUUCCUGACGCUGAGGCACGAAGGGUCAGGGGGCAAAC
rnacentral:rRNA from 1 species